UAUUUACAAAUAGUUAUUUGAAUUUUAUUUGAAUAGUUAUAUAAAUUUAUAAAUCAUUAAAGUUUAAGAUAUAAAAAUAUUAGAUAAUAAUAUCAAUAUACUAGGUAAACAGUAAUUUGUUUUGAUAACAGUUAAAAAAUACUUAAACUGUGAGCAUACAGUUUGUGAUUUAUGUUUAAUUAAAAAAUUGUUCAUUUUUAAGUUAAACAUUAAAUGAUAUUAAUUAGUUCAUUAACUCAAAACUUGUUAAAUAAGUAAACAAUUAUGAGUCUUUAACGAUUUUAAAUUACCUCAUUAAAUUUUAAAGAUUGAACAUAAAUUGUGAACAUCAUUCAGAUAGAAAUGUUAAAGAUAUAAAAGUUCAAUUCAAUACAAGUUACUAGUUAUAUAAACCAAUUCAAUAUUUUAAUGAUGGCAUCAAAUCGUUCUGAUAGGAGAAGAGCAAGUUAUGAAUUGUCAACUUUUUUUUCUUCAAUACAUGACCAAAAUCGCAGUAUUGAAGUAAACGGCAAAACUCUUAAGCCACAAGUUGACAGAGCUAACCUAUACCCAGUUGAUUUCUCUAUAUCUGACGUUUGUUUUGAAAGCAAU